rnacentral:rRNA from 1 species
UGGCCUAACGGCUGAACCAGCAAUUUGGGGGAAUGUAUAGCGAAAGCUAGUUGUAUUAACUAAAAGUUAAUGCAAGAUCGACUACGUCGAUUAAAGUUCUAGGUAUAAUAAUGAUGAUGACAAUUUUUUACCUAUAUGUCUUGACCAAGUCUCGUGCCAGCAGUCGCGGUAAUACGUGGAAGACUAGUGUUAUUCAUCUUUAAUAGGUUUAAAGGGUACCUAGACGGUAUAUCUAGCCCAAAAUAGGGUACGGAUUUACUAGAGUUUUAUGUGAGGAGGGGAGUACUCAUGGAGUAGAGAUGAAAUUUUGUGAUACUAUGAGGAAACUGGUGAUGGCGAAAGCAACCUUCUAUGUAUAAACUGACGUU